UACGUAGGGUCCGAGCGUUGUCCGGAAUUAUUGGGCGUAAAGAGCUCGUAGGCGGUGUGUCACGUCGGCCGUGAAAACCUGCAGCUUAACUGUGGGCGUGCGGUCGAUACGGGCAUCACUGGAGUUCGGCAGGGGGAGACUGGAAUUCCUGGUGUAGCGGUGAAAUGCGCAGAUAUCAGGAGGAACACCUAUUGCGAAGGCAGCUCGCUGGGACGUUACUGACGCUGAGACGCGAAAGCGUGGGGGAGCAAACAGG
rnacentral:rRNA from 1 species